rnacentral:rRNA from 1 species
CGGGUAGCCGGCCUGAGAGGGUGACCGGCCACAUUGGGACUGAGAUACGGCCCAGACUCCUACGGGAGGCAGCAGUGGGGAAUAUUGCACAAUGGGCGGAAGCCUGAUGCAGCAACGCCGCGUGCGGGAUGACGGCCUUCGGGUUGUAAACCGCUUUCGCCUGUGACGAAGCGUGAGUGACGGUAAUGGGUAAAGAAGCACCGGCUAACUACGUGCCAGCAGCCGCGGUGAUACGUAGGGUGCGAGCGUUGUCCGGAUUUAUUGGGCGUAAAGGGCUCGUAGGUGGUUGAUCGCGUCGGAAGUGUAAUCUUGGGGCUUAACCCUGAGCGUGCUUUCGAUACGGGUUGACUUGAGGAAGGUAGGGGAGAAUGGAAUUCCUGGUGGAGCGGUGGAAUGCGCAGAUAUCAGGAGGAACACCAGUGGCGAAGGCGGUUCUCUGGGCCUUUCCUGACGCUGAGGAGCGAAAGCGUGGGGAGCGAACAGGCUUAGAUACCCUGGUAGUCCACGCUGUAAACGGUGGGUACUAGGUGUGGGGUCCAUUCCACGGGUUCCGUGCCGUAGCUAACGCUUUAAGUACCCCGCCUGGGGAGUACGGCCGCAAGGCUAAAACUCAAAGGAAUUGACGGGGCCCCGCACAAGCGGCGGAGCAUGCGGAUUAAUUCGAUGCAACGCGUAGAACCUUACCUGGGUUUGACAUGGAUCGGGAGUGCUCAGAGAUGGGUGUGCCUCUUUUGGGGUCGGUUCACAGGUGGUGCAUGGCUGUCGUCAGCUCGUGUCGUGAGAUGUUGGGUUAAGUCCCGCAACGAGCGCAACCCUUGUCAUUAGUUGCUACAUUUAGUUGAGCACUCUAAUGAGACUGCCGGUGACAAACCGGAGGAAGGUGGGGAUGACGUCAAGUCCUCAUGGCCCUUAUGGGUAGGGCUUCACACGUCAUACAAUGGUACAUACAGAGGGCCGCCAACCCGCGAGGGGGAGCUAAUCCCAGAAAGUGUAUCGUAGUCCGGAUCGUAGUCUGCAACUCGACUACGUGAAGUUGGAAUCGCUAGUAAUCGCGGAUCAGCAUGUCGCGGUGAAUACGUUCCCGGGUCUUGUACACACCGCCCGUCACACCAUGGGAGCGGGUUUUACCAGAAGUAGGUAGCUUAACCGCAAGGAGGGCGCUUACCACGGUAGGAUUCGUGACUGGGGUGAAGUCGUAACAAGGUAGCCGUAUCGGAAGGUGCGGCUG